rnacentral:rRNA from 1 species
GAGAUGGAGUUGGUGCCUUCGGAACGUCUGACACAGGUGCUGCAUGGCUGUCGUCAGCUCGUGUCGUGAGAUGUGGGUUAAGUCCCGCAACGAGCGCAACCUCGUGUUUAGUUGCUAACAGUUCGGCUGAGAACUCUAAACAGACUGCCUACGCAAGUAGGAGGAAGGUGAGGACGACGUCAAGUCAUCAUGGCCCUUACGGCCAGGGCUACACACGUGCUACAAUGGGGUAUACAAAGAGCAGCGAUACGGUGACGUGGAGCAAAUCUAGAAAAUGCCUCUCAGUUCGGAUUGUAGUCUGCAACUCGACUACAUGAAGUUGGAAUCGCUAGUAAUCGUAGAUCAGCAAUGCUACGGUGAAUACGUUCCCGGGUCUU